CGGCGGACGGGUGAGUAACGCGUGGGUAACCUGCCUCAUACAGGGGGAUAACAGUUAGAGAUGACUGCUAAUACCGCAUAAGACCACGGUACCGCAUGGUACAGUGGUAAAAACUCCGGUGGUAUGAGAUGGACCCGCGUCUGAUUAGGUAGUUGGUGGGGUAACGGCCUACCAAGCCGACGAUCAGUAGCCGACCUGAGAGGGUGACCGGCCACAUUGGGACUGAGACACGGCCCAA
rnacentral:rRNA from 1 species